rnacentral:rRNA from 1 species
AGAGUUUGAUCAUGGCUCAGGACGAACGCUGGCGGCGUGCUUAACACAUGCAAGUCGAGCGGUAAGGCCCCUUCGGGGGUACACGAGCGGCGAACGGGUGAGUAACACGUGAGCAAUCUGCCCUUCACAUCGGAAUAACCUCGGGAAACCGAAGCUAAUACCGGAUACGACCAUCGAAGGCAUCUUCUGGUGGUGGAAAGUUCCGGCGGUGAGGGAUGAGCUCGCGGCCUAUCAGCUUGUUGGUGGGGUAACGGCCUACCAAGGCGACGACGGGUAGCCGGCCUGAGAGGGUGAUCGGCCACACUGGGACUGAGACACGGCCCAGACUCCUACGGGAGGCAGCAGUGGGGAAUAUUGGACAAUGGGCGAAAGCCUGAUCCAGCAACGCCGCGUGAGGGAUGACGGCCUUCGGGUUGUAAACCUCUUUCAGCAGGGACGAAGCGAAAGUGACGGUACCUGCAGAAGAAGCACCGGCCAACUACGUGCCAGCAGCCGCGGUAAUACGUAGGGUGCAAGCGUUGUCCGGAAUUAUUGGGCGUAAAGGGCUCGUAGGCGGUCCAUCGCGUCGGGAGUGAAAAGCUGGGGCUUAACCCCAGUCCUGCUUCCGAUACGGGUGGACUAGAGGUAGGUAGGGGAGAACGGAAUUCCUGGUGUAGCGGUGAAAUGCGCAGAUAUCAGGAGGAACACCGGUGGCGAAGGCGGUUCUCUGGGCCUUACCUGACGCUGAGGAGCGAAAGCAUGGGGAGCAAACAGGAUUAGAUACCCUAGUAGUCC